rnacentral:sRNA from 21 species
UGCCGGUGCGGUGAAUAAGGCAGUAAGUUUGCAUGCGUGCAAACCGAUGAGCCGUCAUUGACCUAGUGUGACUCUGCCGAUAUGGAUUAGGCGCACCGGCC